ACGAACGCUGGCGGCGUGCUUAACACAUGCAAGUCGAACGGAAAGGCCCUGCUUUUGUGGGGUGCUCGAGUGGCGAACGGGUGAGUAACACGUGAGUAACCUGCCCUUGACUUUGGGAUAACUUCAGGAAACUGGGGCUAAUACCGGAUAGGAGCUCCUGCUGCAUGGUGGGGGUUGGAAAGUUUCGGCGGUUGGGGAUGGACUCGCGGCUUAUCAGCUUGUUGGUGGGGUAGUGGCUUACCAAGGCUUUGACGGGUAGCCGGCCUGAGAGGGUGACCGGCCACAUUGGGACUGAGAUACGGCCCAGACUCCUACGGGAGGCAGCAGUGGGGAAUAUUGCACAAUGGGCGGAAGCCUGAUGCAGCAACGCCGCGUGCGGGACGACGGCCUUCGGGUUGUAAACCGCUUUCGCCUGUGACGAAGCGUGAGUGACGGUAAUGGGUAAAGAAGCACCGGCUAACUACGUG
rnacentral:rRNA from 1 species